AUUGAACGCUGGCGGCAGGCCUAACACAUGCAAGUCGAGCGGAUGAAGAGAGCUUGCUCUCUGAUUUAGCGGCGGACGGGUGAGUAAUGCCUAGGAAUCUGCCUGGUAGUGGGGGAUAACGUUCCGAAAGGAACGCUAAUACCGCAUACGUCCUACGGGAGAAAGCAGGGGACCUUCGGGCCUUGCGCUAUCAGAUGAGCCUAGGUCGGAUUAGCUAGUUGGUGAGGUAAUGGCUCACCAAGGCUACGAUCCGUAACUGGUCUGAGAGGAUGAUCAGUCACACCGGAACUGAGACACGGUCCAGACUCCUACGGGAGGCAGCAGUGGGGAAUAUCGGACAAUGGGCGAAAGCCUGAUCCAGCCAUGCCGCGUGUGUGAAGAAGGUCUUCGGAUUGUAAAGCACUUUAAGUUGGGAGGAAGGGCAGUAAGUUAAUACCUUGCUGUUUUGACGUUACCGACAGAAUAAGCACCGGCUAACUUCGUGCCAGCAGCCGCAGUAAGAC
rnacentral:rRNA from 1 species